AUGAACGCUGGCGGCGUGCCUAAUACAUGCAAGUCGAGCGAACGGACGAGAAGCUUGCUUCUCUGAUGUUAGCGGCGGACGGGUGAGUAACACGUGGAUAACCUACCUAUAAGACUGGGAUAACUUCGGGAAACCGGAGCUAAUACCGGAUGAUAUUUUGAACCGCAUGGUUCAAAAGUGAAAGACGGUCUUGCUGUCACUUAUAGAUGGAUCCGCGCUGCAUUAGCUAGUUGGUAAGGUAACGGCUUACCAAGGCAACGAUGCAUAGCCGACCUGAGAGGGUGAUCGGCCACACUGGAACUGAGACACGGUCCAGACUCCUACGGGAGGCAGCAGUAGGGAAUCUUCCGCAAUGGGCGAAAGCCUGACGGAGCAACGCCGAGUGAGUGAUGAAGGUCUUCGGAUCGUAAAACUCUGUUAUUAGGGAAGAACAUAUGUGUAAGUAACUGUGCACAUCUUGACGGUACCUAAUCAGAAAGCCACGGCUAACUACGUG
rnacentral:rRNA from 1 species